CCCUCUAUCAAAACACAUAAAACGAGCAGCAAAGACUGCUCUUAUGGCCAUUUUCGGCUGAGUUUAACACUUACCAGCAAUGGAAUUGAAGAUUUUGUUCAUCACAGUCUUGUUUCUUGGGGCCAGUGCAGCAUUUUCUCUACGAGAGGAGCAGGAAGAUGCUCUAAACGAAUAUGAAGCUCAAGAACUCGAGGAAAUGAACAACGACGGACCAGAAUAUGGUAGGUUAUUAUCACGCGUUUCAUUCUCACAAAUUAG